rnacentral:rRNA from 1 species
ACGAACGCUGGCGGCGUGCCUAACACAUGCAAGUCGAGGGGUGCUUUCGGGCAUCACUGGCGCACGGGUGAGUAACGCGUAGAUCAUCUGCCCCUAUCACUGACAUAACAGUUCUAACGGACUGCUAAUAUCAGAUGAGGUGAGCAAUCAUCAAAGUUUCGACGGAUAGGGAUGAGUCUGCGUCUGAUUAGGUAGUUGGUGAGGUAACGGCUCACCAAGCCGACGAUCAGUAACUGGUCUGAGAGGACGAACAGUCACACUGGAACUGAGACACGGUCCAGACUCCUACGGGAGGCAGCAGUGAGGAAUAUUGCACAAUGGAAGCAAUCCUGAUGCAGCGACGCCGCGUGCGGGAUGAAGGGGCUUAGCCUCGUAAACCGCUGUCGGAGGGGACGAAUGGUACAUUUGAUGUACUGAGACGGUACCCUCAAAGGAAGGAUCGGCUAACUACGUGCCAGCAGCCGCGGUAAUACGUAGGACCCGAGCGUUGUCCGGAAUUAUUGGGCGUAAAGAGCUUGUAGGCGGUUUGUCGCGUCUGCAGUGAAAAUCCGGGGCUCAACCCCGGACUUGCUGUGGGUACGGGCAGACUAGAGUGUGGUAGGGGAGACCGGAAUUCCUGGUGUAGCGGUGGAAUGCGCAGAUAUCAGGAGGAACACCGAUGGCGAAGGCAGGUCUCUGGGCCACAACUGACGCUGAGAAGCGAAAGCAUGGGGAGCGAACAGGAUUAGAUACCCUGGUAGUCCAUGCCGUAAACGUUGGGCGCUAGGUGUGGGGCUCAUUCCACGAGCUCCGUGCCGCAGCUAACGCAUUAAGCGCCCCGCCUGGGGAGUACGGCCGCAAGGCUAAACUCAAAGGAAUUGACGGGGGCCCGCACAGCGGCGGAGCAUGCGGAU